rnacentral:rRNA from 1 species
GACGAACGCUGGCGGCGUGCUUAACACAUGCAAGUCGAGCGGUAAGGCCCUUUCGGGGGUACACGAGCGGCGAACGGGUGAGUAACACGUGGGUGACCUGCCUUUAGCUCUGGGAUAAGCCUGGGAAACCGGGUCUAAUACUGGAUAUGACUCCAUGACGCAUGUUGUGGGGUGGAAAGCCUUGUGCGGCUAGAGAUGGGCCCGCGGCCUAUCAGCUUGUUGGUGGGGUGAUGGCCACCAAGGCGACGACGGGUAGCCGGCCUGAGAGGGCGACCGGCCACACUGGGACUGAGACACGGCCCAGACUCCUACGGGAGGCAGCAGUGGGGAAUCUUGCGCAAUGGGCGAAAGCCUGACGCAGCGACGCCGCGUGAGGGAUGACGGCCU